GACGAACGCUGGCGGCGUGCUUAACACAUGCAAGUCGAACGGAAAGGCCCUGCUUUUGUGGGGUGCUCGAGUGGCGAACGGGUGAGUAACACGUGAGUAACCUGCCCUUGACUUUGGGAUAACUUCAGGAAACUGGGGCUAAUACCGGAUAGGAGCUCCUGCUGCAUGGUGGGGGUUGGAAAGUUUCGGCGGUUGGGGAUGGACUCGCGGCUUAUCAGCUUGUUGGUGGGGUAGUGGCUUACCAAGGCUUUGACGGGUAGCCGGCCUGAGAGGGUGACCGGCCACAUUGGGACUGAGAGACGGCCCAGACUCCUACGGGAGGCAGAAGUGGGGAAUAUUGCACAAUGAGCGGAAGCCUGAUGAAGAAACGCCGCGUGCGGGAUGACGGCCUUCGGGUUGUAAAACGCUUUAGCCUGUGACGAAGCGUGAGUGACGGUAAUGGGUAAAGAAGCACCGGCUAACUACGUG
rnacentral:rRNA from 1 species